rfam:Danio rerio unplaced genomic contig NA367, GRCz11 reference primary assembly.
GGUAGCGUGGCCGAGGGGUCUAAGGCGCUGGAUUUAGGCUCCAGUCUCUUCGGGGGCAUGGGUUUGAAUCCCACCGGACUCA